GCUUACAUUGUUACUGUUUUAUUUUAACAUGAAUACUACUGCACCUGUUGACUUAUUUCAGAAUAAUUUUAUUUUUUUUCUGUAUAACUUGGACUAUAUACAGUAAUGUUAUUGUAGUUUUCCUAUCAUUUAGAUUAUAAUUAGAUCAUUUAGCUUAUAAUUAGGUCAACAAUAAAAUCUUGGAUUUUCAAAUACGAAAGGUGUGUUCCUGUCACGGAGUUAUCUAGAUCAAUCUAUGCCCGUGACAGGGGGCAGUAGGCCUGUAGGCUCCCAGCUCCCAAAAAUGGGAAGGGAAAAGGGAAAGGGGUAGGGAAAUGGGAGCUGGGCUCAGAGAGGGAGGGGAAAACAAACAAACAAACAAACAACAAAAAAAAUGGAGCAGUGGCAAUGAUCUAAGGAGGAAAACUUAUUUUACCAACUAUGAUAUUGGAAUGUAAGUUAAAGCAAUAUAAUAUAAUCUAAUUGAAAUUGAGGCUAAUAAAUCAAAUAAGAUAAGAGAGAGAGUUUCCAAAACCAAAAGGCCUACUCGAAUGAAGGCGCACAGCUUGGAAGCACACCCUCUGCCAGCCAGCGAGAGAGAGGAUCCCAUGACUUCUGUGAUGUAUCUUCCUUCUCUGACCGUAAGGAAUUUUCACUCUACUAAAAUUUGGAUUUGCCUCCCGUUAAUGGGAGAUGGAAGGCCCAUGGAGGAACAGGCUGUCCCCCUGCAGCCCAUGAGCACCAUGCAAAGCAAAUCUCCACAUGCAGCCAUGAAGAAGUCCAUGGUGCAGCAGUGGAUGAGGCCCGAAGGAGGGACAGCCCAUGGGAAGCCCCCACAGGAACACCCCAGGCAGGAACUGCAGCCUGUGGAAAGCCGUCUGUCGUGGGGCAGGAGGGUUGAGGGAGCUGCCAUUGGUGGGAACCCAUGCAGGAGCAACAGGUGACAACAGGGGGCAGUCUGACAAAAUGGCUUCUCACAUGAAAGCGUGUAUGAAGUGGAAGUGUGAAACUGCAUUCAUCCACAUGGGAGAAAUGUCACCCACUGACGUUCAUUGACUUUUAUUGGACAUUUCACAGAAUUGUAGGGGCUGGAAGAGAACUCCAGAGACCACCGAGUCCAACUCCCCUGCUAAAGCAGGCUCCCUAGACCAGGUUGCACAGGUGUAUUGCCUUCAUCUGUGCUCCCAUGGCUGACUCAGUGCUUGCCUCAGGUCAUCAGUCAAGUGGUUGAGACUGUGAUUCAUCAGGUCCAAUAUGCCCAGGCAAGCCAAAAGGGGGGACAUCCAUACUAUAAGGGUGAAAAGAUCAUUAAUAGGCUGCAUUUAUUUUUGUACAGUCUCACUUGCAUAUUUGAAUUAAUAGUUUUGACACAACAUUAAUUUUAAAUUGAGGGCAAGAUGGAAUGUUUAUUAAUGCAUGAUUCAAAGGAAAGAAAGUAGCUAAAUUAUCUAGCAUUUCUUCUGCAUUGCUUACUUUGUACUUUAGAAGUAACUCAUACUUUGUUAUUUCUAUUGAAGGCUUGAAAACAGAAUGUUUCUUUUGACCUUCACUGAAGUCUAGGAAGAACAAGCAGUAGCAUAUGCUCUUUAUUAUUAUUAUUUUUUUUUUACCGGAUUUUAUCAGCAUUUUUCAGAAUAUCAGAAUAUUUAAAAAUGUAUACUAAGCUUUGCAUUUAAAUAACACAGUUUAGCAUUAAUAUUCUGUAAAUAUAUAGUAGUAAUAUGUGGAAAAAAACAGAGCAAGGUCAUCAUGUUUAUUUAAUACGCUGAAGUACUUCUGUCAAUGGUUUACAGGCUUGUUCAGCCCAAUUCUGUGACAAAAGGGGCAGGAGGGACCCACAGACACAUGCCCUGGGAAAGGGAAAAGGGGGAAAAGCAGAAAGGGUAGGAAGAUGGGCCUAAAAACAAAACAGUGGCAACAAUCUGAGGAGGAAAACUAAUUUAGUAAAUAUAAUAUUAGAAUGCAAGAUAACACAAUAUAGUUCAAUAUAAUUAGAAUUGAAACUAAUAAAUCAAAUAAAAUGAGAGUGUGUUAAAAAAGAAAAAGAAAAAAAAAAAAAAAAAAAAACUGAGGGCCUUACUCUAAUACUGAAGGCGAGACUUCUAGCCAGGAUGAGCAGAAAGGGAAAAGGGAGUGGGUCCUCACAACCUGUGGACAGUUUUUAUCUUUCUCUCUGAAUGGAAAACAGAAACAGAGCAACACAAAGUCCUCUGGGGUAUGUACUUCUCUUCUGAGAACAAGGUACCCGUAGCUAUCCAUGAUCCAUGGAACUGGAGCAUUAACUCUUUAGUUCCCAGUGCACUAUAUGAUGUUGUGAUGUGGAAUACUAAUAACAAAAACCAUAAAACGAUGACAAUGUCUUACAGGUGGUAACCUUUCUUUGCUUCUCUUACCAUUUUUGUACUUAACUUUAAUAAUGAUAGAAAAUUCUAUGAUUUUUAGCAGGUCAGGAGCAGUACUUUUCUAACUACUCCUGUUCUACUAUAUUGAGUUGCAGAGGCAGAAUAUUAUACUUGAAUAAAGAAAGUAGAAUUAAUAGAAGAUUUUAUUAUUGUCUAUAUGCAAGUUGUAUCUUUAAUAACAGAAUUUAUGUCCCCUUGCUAAUUAUAGAAUCAAAGAAUCAGUAAGAUUGGAAAAGAUUGCUAAGAUCAAUUGGCACGACCUUCCACCAACUAAUAUUGCUCACUAAACCAUAGGCCUAACUACCACUUCUACAUCUUCCUUGAACACCUCCAGGGAUGGUGGCUCCACGACCUCCCUGGACAGCCUGUUGCAGUGCUUGAACACUCUUUCAGAGAAUUUUUCCCUAAUAUCUAGCUUGAAUCUCCCCUGGCACAACUUACAGCCCUUAUCUCAUUUCUUACUGCUAAUUAUCCAGGAGAAGAGGCCAGGAGAAGAGGCUUACCUCACCACAACCUCCUUCCAGGUAGUUGUAGAGUGCAAGAAGGUCUUCCCCUGAGUCUACUCUACUCCAGUCUAAGCAAUCUCAGUUCCUUCAGCUGCUCUUCAUUAGACCUCACCAGCCUCACCGCCCUUCUUCGGACUCCCUCCACAAUGUCUUUCUUGUAGUGUUGGGCCCAAAACUGAACACAGUAUUUGAGGUAGGGCUUCACCAGUCCUGAGUACAGUUGGACAAUCACCUCCCAGGUCAUGCUGUCUACACAGUUUCUGAUAAAAGUCAGAAUGCCUCUGGCCUUCUUAGACACCAGGGCAUACUGGCUCAUGUUCAGCCGAGUUUCAGCCAGCAUCCCCAGAUACUUUCCUACAGCUCAGCCUUCCAUGCACUCUGCCCCCUGUAGUUCAUUCUUACACUGA
ensembl:lncRNA